rnacentral:rRNA from 1 species
GACGAACGCUGGCGGCGUGCUUAACACAUGCAAGUCGAACGGAAAGGCCUCUUUCGGGGGGUACUCGAGUGGCGAACGGGUGAGUAACACGUGAGUAACCUGCCCUUGACUUUGGGAUAACUUCAGGAAACUGGGGCUAAUACCGGAUAAGAGCUCCUGCUGCAUGGUGGGGGUUGGAAAGUUUCGGCGGUUGGGGAUGGACUCGCGGCUUAUCAGCUUGUUGGUGGGGUAGUGGCUUACCAAGGCUUUGACGGGUAGCCGGCCUGAGAGGGUGACCGGCCACAUUGGGACUGAGAGACGGCCCAGACUCCUACGGGAGGCAGCAGUGGGGAAUAUUGCACAAUGGGUGGGAGCCUGAUGCAGCAACGCCGUGUGCGGGAUGACGGCCUUCGGGUUGUAAACCGCUUUCGCUCAUGACGAAGCUUUGUGUGACGGUAGUGGGUAAAGAAGCACCGGCUAACUACGUG